GGCAUCUCUUUUUUAUUUAAAUCUGUUUUUAGUAGAUAACUUAUUAACUGAGAGAACUAGGUUUUCUUGAUCCAUAGCCCAUGGGAACAAAACAUAAUUUGACAAUUCAAUUCACAUCUUACAAAGACUCUUCCCUCUGGGAGAAAGCCCACCAGGAUCCCUAUAGAAUUUUCUAUUCUGGUCCUUCCUUCUUACAUGUGGUAUGUACUCUCAAAGCUAGACACAGGUGAGCAGGGCAUUCUGAUCCUUCCCAACCCUUCAGAGCACAGAACUGUGAGAACCUAAGCCUGUCUACUGCAACUUCCCUGAGAAGAGCUGGCUGCACAGGACUGUUGGCAAUUUUACAGUUCAUUGCUGGUAUUGCAGAUAAUGCUGUUAUUCUCAAUGCUGACUCCCUUCCAGUCAAAUAAUCAGAGUCUUCAUAAUUUAGGGUCACCAUCAGACCUACAUGAUACUCCCUCUCUACUGUGUUGAAUAACGUUUCUCGUUGCCUUGACAAAAACACCUGAAAAAAGUAAUCAAAGAAGGAAAGAUCUCUUUUGGCUCACAGAUGGAGUCUAUCAUGUUAUUGAAAACACUGCAGUACAAGUUUGGGGCAGCAACAUCCAUUAUCAGGAAGAAGAGAGAGAGAGAGAGAGAGAGAGAGAGAGAGAGAGAGAGAGAGAGAGAGAGAGAGAGAGAGAGAGAGAGAAUUCUGGUGCUGGUGCUCAGUGCCUAUUUGCUCAUUCUGACCCAGCCCAGGAUUCCAUUCUGUUGAGUGGAGCCACCCACAUUUAGCAUUUGUCUUCUCACCCAAAUUAACCUAAACUAGUAAUUCACUGAGAAAUUCAUGUCUACAGGCUUGUCUCCCAGGUGUCUCUAGAUCUUCCCAUGCUGACAACCAGUAUCGGCCAUCCAGAUCUCUCUCCCUGAUGAGCCCAGGGCUAGGUGAGGUUAGAACACAGGUAUGCUUCAUAGUUGCCCACUGUGUUUGCCUUUCUCACUACAUCAAGCUGUUUCUACUUCAUAUCUUCAUUACAUGAAUUCUGCCUUCCAGAAGGAAGCCUCAUCCUCCACCAUGUUCUCUCAAGUGCUGCAGAAUGGGAUCAGUAAGCUGAUGUCGAGCGUUUGAGGGAGCUGAACCCUCCUGUGUCCUUCUGUGCUGAGGAGACAUGAACCUCUGCUUCUGCAAGAGCAUGCCCCAGUUCUCAGUCAGCAUGUGAUGAACAGUCUGUUUACUUCUAACCCUGAUCAAAGAUAUUGUACAGAUUGAUGUCUCACAAUGGCCGCCUUGUAAGGGAAAUACCAUGUGAUCAGUGCUGGCCACAAGAAGCUGAGCAUUCUGAGAAGGUGCAUCUGGGAGAUGUCUGUGUAAAGUCAUCUCUGAUCCGAAUGUGUAAGCCUGGAGCCCUGGUGGUUCCUGCACCUGCGUGGCUAGCUCAUUAAUGUAAGGGAGAAUGAGAAAGAGAAAGCAAGAGGAAACCUCAUGGGAUUGCUGAACACCUGCACAGACUCCAGAACCCACCUGUGGCUGUGUGUUAUUCGAGGAACACAUUUCUCAUUGUUGAAACUAUUCACCUUACAGCUUUCUCCUGUUUCCAAGUUUCCCCAAGGAUCUACUUUGCUGCUGCCAUGUAAAUGGUGCACUCUGAAGACAAACACAUGCUGCAUAAUACUGCUGUAUGGAUUCUGGGAAUCUGAGCUCAAGGCAUUGUGUUUGCAAAGCAAGGCUCUUACCCAUUGAACUAUCUCUCUAGUCACCAAUCAGGAGCUUAUACGACCAUCAAGGUCUCUGGUGGAAAACAAGUGAGUAAGAACUGGAGGCUGGAGGCACACUGGAUUGAGGAUGGGCAAGAUGGUGGUCACAGCCUUAAGCUAGGAAAGGCUCAUGAAGUCCUACGGAAGUAGUAUCUGAAGGAUCACCAUACCACCAGGCAAUGAGAGAAGCAAGCCUCUGAAGGGAGAUGUCUGCACAAGUAUGAAGGACUGAAAGGAUGUGUGAAGGAAGCUGCAGCACAGAUGGUAGUGGAAACAGUCUGAGCUGUGCCAGCCAUAGCCAGCAGUGAUUCACAUAGUCCCAGCUGUCCUUGAACUCACUAUAUAACUGAGGAUGACCUUGGAUUUCUGAAGAUCCUCCCACCUCCACUUUGCAAACGCUAAGAUGACAGGGUGCUAACCCCAUGUGACUCAUUAAUGAUAGAAUUUCCUGGAUGAAGUUACCUGGAAGACAAGAAGCAGAUGGCUGAGUGACCCCAGAGUUGUCAUUGUGCUUUGCUGAGUCUCUUUCAUUUUCUGGGAAAUAAAGAACUACCUUAUGUGACUGCUAAGGGCUCCAGGGCUCAAAAAACUCUACAGUCCAUGACUUGAGUUAUUCCAAAAAGCUAUUACUAAUAAAAAUAAUAGCUUCCAUUUUUUUUUUUGAGUACCGGCUCCAGUCUGGCAAUUACACUAGCAGACCCUACAUAUGACUCUUUCCUCUAGGCAUAACAUGAUUGCCAUCUUGAAAUAGAGAUUACCCUGGCCUGGUAACUAUAGCAACUAAUUGAGCAGAGCCCCACUAAGAUAGCAAUGGCUAUUAUAAGAGUGACUGAGUGAUUGACAACCCUAGUAGAAAAAAGAGAUGGGAGGGACAUAGGAUCCCUACCAGGAAUUCCAGCCAUUACUCUCCUCUGCUCUCCCCUGGCUACCAGUGAUCUUGGGAGAUGCUGACAUAUAUAAGAAGAUUAACUGAGAGAGGGACUCCAUGAUGCAGCUCCCAGGAGGCCACCAUCCUUGAUGGGAUGGGGUUGAGUGAUGCAGAUAUACGGGGACGAGUGACCCCCUGACCCAUGCCUUGUAAGGAAGUCCAGAAAACUCCUUGAUUCACCAGAUUGGACUUUGAUAGAAUUGUUACUUUGGUCUGUCAUUGAUGCCCUAUGUGAUCAGUAGACAUUUGUUCACAUCUACCCAGGAAGUUAACACCAUCCACCACAUCCAGAUAUUAAGACAUUGCCCCUAGUGACCCCCAUUAGCUGUGGAUAACACUAAGAUGCAGAGAAGUUAGUGGGCUGGUCAUAGUCCCAGGAUGC
rnacentral:lncRNA from 1 species